rnacentral:misc_RNA from 1 species
CUUUCUCAACGGUUCUUCCAAAUUUCUCUCUUCCUCCCAAUUUACAGCUUCAUUACAGCCACUUUUCAACCAAGGAAACUUUAAUUUCUCUGGAUAACAAGCAAAAUCCCGGGAAAAGUACUGUUUAGCUAGGAGGGGAGCAAGAAAAAGAAGAUCAAAGAGAUGGAGAUUCAAGAAAACCAACAGGAAACAUGGUCGGAGACAGAAAGCAACAGCAGCAGCAGAAGAGCUGGCUUCAGCGGUCCAUUAGUGAGCAACAAAAGAAACAGCAGCAAGAAAAGUGCAAGAUUCAAAGAAGAAGAAUACGUGGAGAUCACCCUAGACGUUCGCGAUGACUCAGUUUCCGUUCACAACAUAAAGGGAGGAGAUUCGGAGACGGCAUUUCUAGCUAGUCAAUUGGAGAAAAGAAAUCAUCCUUCACUUGGAUCACAGCUUUCGUUUCGACUGAGACAAGUUUCACAGGAGCUCAAGAGAAUCACUUCUUCGAAUACUUUUGACAAGGUUGACAGGAGCAAGUCUGGAGCUGCUCGUGCCCUGAAAGGGCUUAAGUUCAUGACAAAAAAUGUGGGAACCGAAGGCUGGCCUGAAGUUGAAGCAAGGUUUAAUAAAUUGGCUGUUGAUGGAUCACUUCCCAAGACUCGGUUUGGCCAAUGCAUAGGGAUGAAUGAAUCAAGUGAAUUUGCAAGCGAACUAUUUGAUGCAUUGGCUAGGAGUAGAGGGAUAACAUCAGCUUCAAUAAGCAAGGCUGUGUUGCGUGAAUUCUGGGAACAAAUUACUGACCAGAGUUUUGAUGCUAGGCUUCAAAUCUUCUUUGGCAUGGUUGACAAAAAUGCGGAUGGCAGGAUCACCGAAGAAGAGGUGAAGGAGAUUAUUGCUUUAAGUGCUUCAGCUAAUAAGCUAUCAAAGAUUCAAGAACGAGCUGAGGAGUAUGCUGCUCUGAUCAUGGAAGAAUUGGACCCAGACAAUCUUGGAUACAUUGAGCUUUAUAACUUGGAAAUGCUGCUUCUCCAAGCUCCAAAUCAAUCGACAAACUUAGCUACAGAUAGUCGAGUUUUAAGCCAAUUACUAAGCCAAAAGCUUGUGCCAACCAAAGAUCACAACCCAAUAAAGAGAUGCUACAGAAGCGUGGCCUACUUCGUUGAGGACAAUUGGAAGAGAAUUUGGGUGAUGGGCCUAUGGCUUGGAAUCUGCGCAGGACUCUUUACUUGGAAAUUCAUUCAGUACAAACAUCGAGCGGUCUUCGAUGUCAUGGGCUACUGUGUUACCACCGCUAAGGGUGCAGCUGAAACCACCAAGUUCAACAUGGCUUUAAUUCUUUUACCCGUGUGUAGAAAUACCAUUACUUGGCUUAGAAGCAACACUAAGUUAGGAGCAGUCGUUCCCUUUGAUGAUAAUAUCAACUUCCAUAAGGUAGUUGCUUUGGGGAUAGCUAUUGGAGUUGGGUUACAUGCUGGUGCACAUUUAACAUGCGACUUUCCUAGGCUACUGCAUGCCACAGAUGAAGAGUAUGAGCCAAUGAAGCCAUUCUUUGGCGAUGACCGACCAGAUAACUACUGGUGGUUCGUGAAAGGGACAGAAGGUUGGACUGGCGUGGUGAUGGUGGUGCUCAUGGCUAUAGCCUAUAUAUUAGCCCAACCUUGGUUCCGCCGGAAUAGGCUAAACCUCCCUAACACCCUGAAGAAGCUCACCGGAUUCAAUGCCUUCUGGUAUUCACACCACUUAUUUGUUAUCGUCUACGCCCUCUUCAUUGUUCAUGGAUACUAUCUUUACCUUUCCAAGAAAUGGUACAAGAAAACGACGUGGAUGUAUCUCGCUAUUCCAAUGGGAUUAUAUGCUUGUGAACGUUUGAUUCGUGCAUUCAGAUCAGGCUAUAAAUCAGCGAGGAUUUUGAAGGUGGCUGUCUACCCUGGAAACGUACUGGCACUGCACAUGUCCAGGCCUCAAGGAUUUAGGUAUACUAGUGGGCAAUAUAUCUUUGUGAAUUGUUCAGCUGUUUCCCCAUUUCAAUGGCAUCCAUUUUCAAUUACUUCUGCUCCUGGAGAUGAUUAUCUGAGCAUCCAUAUUCGCACCUUGGGUGACUGGACAUCACAGCUCAAAGCUGUCUUCUCUAAGGUAUGUCAACCUGCAUCAAGCAAUCAAAGUGGCCUGCUAAGAGCUGAUAUAGCAAGUGCUGACAACAAUAAGCCUAGGCUGCCAAAGCUCUUAAUUGAUGGCCCAUAUGGAGCACCAGCACAGGACUACAAAAAAUAUGAUGUUCUCCUCCUCGUUGGGCUUGGAAUUGGUGCCACUCCUUUAAUAAGCAUAGUCAAGGAUGUGCUUAACAAUAUUAAGCAGCAAAAAGAAAUAGAAGAAGGGAUAGUAGAGAGUGGCAUAAAGGGCAACAAGAGAAAACCUUUUGCCACUAAACGAGCUUAUUUUUAUUGGGUUACUCGUGAACAAGGCUCAUUCGAGUGGUUUAGGGGUGUAAUGAACGAAGUAGCUGAGUAUGAUCAAGAUAGAGUCAUCGAGCUUCAUAAUUAUUGUACAAGUGUUUAUGAAGAAGGAGAUGCUCGAUCUGCAUUAAUCACCAUGCUUCAAUCUCUUCAACAUGCUAAAAAUGGUGUUGACAUAGUCUCUGAAACACGUGUUAAGACUCAUUUUGCUAGACCUAAUUGGCGUAAAGUUUUCAAGCAUGUAGCUGUUAAUUAUCCUGAUCAAAGAGUUGGAGUGUUUUAUUGUGGUGCACCUGGAUUGACCGGAGAACUAAGAAGGCUAGCUCAAGACUUUUCCAGGAAAACUACUACCAAGUUUGAUUUUCAUAAAGAGAAUUUCUAAUAAAUUAUUUUUUAAAAAUAAAUAUAUUUUUUUAAAAUGUAAUUUAUUAGAAAUUCUCUUUAUGAAAA